UACGUAGGGGGCAAGCGUUGUCCGGAUUUAUUGGGCGUAAAGAGCGUGUAGGCGGCUUUACAGGUCCGUUGUGAAAACUCGAGGCUCAACCUCGAGACGCCGGUGGAAACCGUAAAGCUAGAGUCCGGAAGAGGAGAGUGGAAUUCCUGGUGUAGCGGUGAAAUGCGCAGAUAUCGGGAGGAACACCAGUGGCGCAGGCGGCGCUCUGGACCGACCCUGACGCUGAGACGCGAAAGCGUGGGUAGCAAACAGG
rnacentral:rRNA from 1 species